rnacentral:lncRNA from 1 species
UCGUGAUCGCCUUCUCUGAUUACCUUCCUGGUUGUCAUAAGUCUAGUUCUGAAACAUUGUUUACAGUUUUGAAGCUACAGGUAAUUACAUAGCAUUUUUAUUUGUAGUUUAAUAAUAUUAUACUUGAAGAAAGUAGUAUUUUGGAAUACCAUCGAUCUGAACUUGUGCACGUAUCAUGAAAAUCAUUAAUUUUUUAACGCUUUCAAUGUUUUAGUAUUAACAUUUUGCUGCAUUGUCAUUGUCUCUCAAAACGUAUCUCUGUUUACAUACACCAGUGAAAGAUAGUUGUAUUACAGUAUUUCAUGUACUUGACACGAUAACUGAAGUGUGUGUGAACAAAUUCUUUGAAAUAAUUUACGCAUAUAAUUAACUUUCCAAUAUGAUUCUUAUUUAGACCUGCUAGAGUUAUCGAACUUUAACCGACAAAAUAUCGGAAGUCUCGUGUGUUUGCUUUUAGCCAUUUAAUUUGUUUAAUAAAUUCACGACUUGCAGAAGAAUAAACUUCCUCUAAUUUUAAAGGAUUUGAAUUUAACAAUAAAUAAAGGCAACAGUAGUAUACCGCUUUUCAAAGUUAAUAAAUCGAUAGAGGAAAAAAAUCUGGGUUACAAACUAAAACUGAGGGAAACGUAUCAAAUAUAAGAGAACUACGACACAACAAAUAAACACGUAAUGGGAUUUAAUCUAAAAAUAAAGCUGAUACUUUUUCUUAAAAGAGGAUCUUCAUUUGAUGUUCAAUGGGGAAACAGUAUGUAUAUGCUUUCGGUGAUUGAUUUCACAUUAUUGUAUCGUGCAAAUAAGCAGUAAAUAGUUAAAUGGAUAUCUAAAACUGUAUUGCCAAUUCAAUAAAAAAAAUUACAAGAACAUUUUACCUGAACAUUUUACAUAUCUAUAAACCCAUGAUAAAAGUAAAGAUUUUUUUAGUAGAUAAUGACAAGCUCUGUACAGCCGUGUGGUGUAUGUGAAUAUCAACAUGUCUUCAAACCUGCGUAUAUAUGGUGUCCAGAUUGCGAUGAGGGCCUCUGUAUAGACUGCAGUAAGCAUCAUGGAAUUUCCAAGUCAACACGAAAGCAUGUCACUGUACUCAUUUCAGAAUAUCAAGCGCUCCCGUCUUACAUCACAAAUAUUAAGCAAACAUGUAGUGCACAUGAAGAAAAAUAUCAAAUCUACUGCAAAGACCACGAAGACGCAUGUUGCAGUAAGUGCACCGUCGAAAAACACGCGAAAUGUCCAAAUAUUUCCAAUAUUGAUGAUUUUGUUAAAAACAUUAAGACCUCAAAUGCUUUUCUAGAAAUUCAGGAAACAUUGAAUGAAGUUGCUGAAAACAUCAAACGGAUCCGUCACGAUAAAAAUGACAAUCUAAAAACUUUGUCCGAGAAAAGAAACCAGAUUGAAUUUGAAAUUCAACUGGUUCGAUUAAAUAUCAAUCAACAUCUCGAUAAAGUACAAGAGAAAUUCAUAUCAGAAUUGCACGAGACAGAAAAAAGAGAGGAAACAAAAAUCCUUCAGUUGAUGAAAGCUUUAGAUGAGCAUGAACGUAAAGUUGUCAAGCACCAAGAGAAUAUAGCAAACAUAAAACAACACGCAUCAGAGCUACAGACCUUCCUAUCUCUGAAGCAGCUUGAAGGUGAUGUUGAUGAAAACUGUCAGUUUAUUGAUUCACUUUCUAAAAGUAAUGUUCUCAAUCGUGCGGAGGUCAAGUUUAACAUUAACACAUCACUUACUGACAUGGCAAAUAGUGUUCUUGAGUUUGGAAAAGUAUUUAUUGACAUCUCUAAUAGCUCAGUGAACAUUGUGAAGAAAAAACAACAACAAGCUCAGUUGAUAGUACCUAAAGUAUCAUCAAUUGUGCCCAUUGAGAAUAUACAAGUCAAGUUAGAACAGACUAUAAAAACCGAAUCAUCUUAUGUUACAGGAUGUUGCAUAUUGCCUGAUAGUAGAUUUGUAUUCGCCUAUCCUAAUGUAAACAAAGUUACUGUAGUUAAACAAGACGGGACGGUUGACUUUUCUUUGAAUGUAACAGCAGCAUGUGGUAUAGCGUACAACAAUGAGGAUACCACUAUAGCGAUAUCAUCCUGUCGUCAAGGCAGACAUAUAACAAUAAUCGAUUUACCAAAACGAAAAGUAAAGAAAACUUUUUCACCGGGAGGACAAACCAUUGGUAUAGCGGUGACAAAUAACACACUGCUGUAUCACAUAUACAAUAAAUCAAUUCGAGCCAUGGAUCUGACUGACGAAUCAACACGUGAUAUAACUACUGAGCACAUGGACACAGAAAUCAACAUAACUAUAUCUGGACACAAACUUUAUUAUUCCAGUUAUAAGUAUCAUACAGUAGUAUGCUGUGAUCUACAAGGAGCGAAACAAUGGACAUUCAAAAAUGAAAACGUUUUAAAGAAUCCAUCUGGAGUAUCAGCUGACAAUGCUGGUAAUGUGUAUGUUGCAGGACGUGGAUCAGAUAAUGUCGUGGUUAUCUCCCCUGAUGGACAAACACAUAGAGAACUCUUAACUAAAAGAGAUGGUUUAUAUUACCCAUAUUCAAUUAACUUUAGAAAGGAAACUACUCAGUUAUUAGUUACAAAUAAUUCUAAGAAACAGUAUUUGUAUAACGUAUCUAGUAAUUAAACCACUUCAAUAUUAUAUAUCUUAAUGCAGUAUUGAAUGAAAUGGAGAAUAAAAGAUACAUGUAUACAAAAUAAAACAUAGUUACAUUGAAACUCAAUUGCUAGUAAAAUGUACUUUAUAGAACAGCCCGGAUUUUUCUGAUAUAUUCAGAAUUGAACCAGGAAAUUGAUUGUUUAUACAAGCAUUUAA